CCUCAUUUGGUAAAUCAGUGUUUUUCUUGAAGAUUGUCCUUGGUGACACAUAUCAUUAAGAACUAAACAUAUUUAAGUAGUUAAAUUAAUGAUAUAGCUGUAAUUGUGUGCUUAAACUCCCAAUACUGCUGUGCAGCAGCAAUGACUAUACUACAGAAGGUGAAUUGACAGUGUAGGACUCCCUUGACAUGGCAGUUGACCUUACACUUAAAUAGCCAUUGGAGUGACACAAAACUCCAAUUAUUUAAAUGAGCAAAGGGACUUUUCUUUGAUUCUUU